UACGUAGGGGGCAAGCGUUGUCCGGAUUUACUGGGCGUAAAGAGCGCGCAGGCGGUUGGAUAAGUCGAAUGUGAAAGCCCCCGGCUCAACUGGGGAGGGUCAUUCGAUACUGUCCGACUCGAAGGCAGGAGAGGGUAGUGGAAUUCCCGGUGUAGUGGUGAAAUGCGUAGAUCUCGAGAGGAACACCAGUGGCGAAGGCGGGUCUCUGGACAACACCUGACGCUGAGGCACGAAAGCCAGGGGAGCAAACGGG
rnacentral:rRNA from 1 species